GCUGGGGUUGUGGCUCAGUGGCAGAGCGAUUACCUAGCAUGCGUGAGGCACUGGGUGCGAUUCUCAGCACAGCA
rnacentral:tRNA from 1 species